rnacentral:rRNA from 1 species
AUUGACCUCGGAUCAGGUAGGGAUACCCGCUGAACUUAAGCAUACCAGAAGCAAACCCCACAAAUUGACCUCGGAUCAGGUAGGGAUACCCGCUGAACUUAAGCAU